rnacentral:rRNA from 1 species
UGGCAGACGGGUGAGUAACGCGUGGUCAACCUACCUUCGAUGGGGGAUAACUAGCCGAAAGGUUAGCUAAUACCGCAUAAAACAUGCCGGGGCAUCCCGGAAUGUUAAAAUGAGCAAUCAGCUUGAAGACGGGACCGCGUCCCAUUAGUUAGUUGGUGGGGUAACGGCCUACCAAGACUCCGAUGGGUAGCUGGUUUGAGAGAGCGACCAGCCACACUGGGGCUGAGAAACGGCCCAG